rnacentral:rRNA from 1 species
UACGGAGGAUGCAAGCGUUAUCCGGAAUCACUGGGCUUAAAGCGCGUGUAGGCGGGCCGGCACGUCGGUCGCUGAAAUCCCCCGGCUCAACCGGGGAAGUGGCACCGAUACGACCGGCCUGGAGGGGGGUAGGGGGCGCUGGAACUCACGGUGGAGCGGUGAAAUGCGUUGAGAUCGUGAGGAACGCCCGCGGCGAAAGCGAGCGCCUGGACCCUUUCUGACGCUGAGGCGCGAAAGCUAGGGGAGCAAACAGG